GAGAACCUCGAGGAUCAACUGAAGAAGGAUAUUGACACCUGCGAGUGUUAUUUCCUCAAGUUUGACAAGUCCACAGAUAUGGUAGAUGUGGCACAGUUAUGCAUUUUCAGCAGAGUGGUAUUUGACAACAUGAGUAUAGAGGAGGAACUACUCGCCAUUUUGCCACUGAAAGGACGGCGAAGAUAUUUUUCAAGCUUUUAUGAAAUUUGCUAACAAAUUCCAACUGCCCUUUUGUAAGCUUGUCUCCAUUACUACCGAUGGGGCACCCGCUAUGGUAGGCUGCAUUAGUGGGUUUGUUGCAUUGUGCAAACGGGAUGAUUCUUUCCCUGACUUUCUUAAUUAUCACUGCGUAAUUCAUCAGCAAGCUUUGUGCGGGAAGAUGUUAAACAUGAAAGAGGUGAUGGAUGUUGCAAUUAAGAUUGUGUGUUGUAGUCAAGCAAGAAGCCUACAGCGGAGGCUAAUUCCCGCUCACUUAGAAGAGACUGAAGUGGAGCACACAGACCUCCUGCUGCACACGGAUGUGCGGUGGCUGAGCAGAGGUACAUUUUUAGGGAGAUUCAGUGAGUUGUUGCCUGAAAUCUAGGAGUUUCUCAAGGUCUCCAAGCAUGUAGAAUAUGCACAGUUAGAGGACACACAGUGGCUCCUGGAUUUAGCUUUUCUCACUCACAUAAUUUACAUGCUUAAUUAAUUGAAUGUAGAGCUACAAGGAAAAGGCAAACAUGUAAUUGACAUGAUCAGCUGUGUGAACACUUUUAAAUGCAAACUACAACUUCUCACAAGAAAGCUGCAACGUAAGGACCUGCACUUCUUUCAACACAUGCAUUCAGAACUUGAACGUCAGCGCAAGGAUACAGCACAGCCUGACAGUGCACAUUGCGUGGCGCAAGUCCAGAGCAUCUUAUCCGAGUUUGACAGUUGUUUCACUGACUUUGCAUCACUUGAGCCUAUUGCCACUUAUAUGUGCUUUCCCUUUGACACAGACAUACAUGUGGAAGUCAUUGCCCCCAAAAUGGGAUCACUUUUUCAGUUGGACACAACCAUAGCAUAAACUGAAAUUCUCACCCUUCAAAAUGACAUCCAGGGCAACCACUGACAUGAAGGAGAGUUCUGGGAGCUACUGCUAUCCCAACAUAAGAAGAUGUGCUCUCAACUUAUCAGCUCCUUUUGGAUCAACCCACAUCUGACAUGAAGAUAAUAAAGUCCAAGUACAGAUCUACUAUGACUGAUGACCACCUUGUGGCCUGCAUGAGACUUGCAACAAGCCGCUACAGCCCUGACUAUGAAAAACGACUUGCCUGCACCAAUGCCAAAAGUCACACUACGGUAGGAAAUUAAAUGAGUUGUACUUAUUUGUGGAAAACAUGUUAUUGGUCCACAUUAUAUUUGGGUAUCAAAUAGGUAUCAUAGCAGCAGGUCCAUACUCAGUGGUGUGUUGCUUUUCAUACGUUUUGUUGGUUGGUUUAGAUUUAGAGACUGGUAGAUCUCAUCAGGCUAGCAAAUGAAAAAGUAGAUCUCACGUCAAAGAAGGUUGGGCACACCCGUCGUAAAGCAACCGCUAGAGUCAGCAGCACACUCUGUUGGCCAAAACCAGCGCAAACCCCACUUACAUAAAUAAAUGAUUAGCUAGAAAUGACAAAGUUGACCAUAUAUCUCACAAUACUUAAGCAUAGCACCAUACACUACAUACAGUAUACAAUACACGGCCCAACAUAGUCAGCACAGCUACCGCAUGCCAUAGGUAUGUCAAAGAAUUGCAUGUAUUACUCUGUUCUUUUAGUUACUGCAAUGACAUUUUUGCAAAAACCUUUUGUAUUUUGUCAGAAGUAGUUUCAUUCAGAAAUGUUAGAGCUUUGAAGAUGCAAUUUGCAAUAUUUACUGUCAUUUUAAUUAACGAUACAGUCCAUUCAGAAAGUAUUCAGACCCCUUGACUUUUUACACAUUUUGUUAUGUUGCAGCCUUAUUGUAAAAUGUAUUAAAUUGUUUUUUCCCCUAAACAAUACACAAAAACCCAUAAAUAUAUCAACCCCUACAAAAAAUUAUAAUUAUAAUUAUAAGCUCCAUAAUAUUUCACAUGUCCUGUUGCUGCAGGAUUAUUUUCCUGCUGUGAGAAACUGGUCAAAUUAAGAUCUGUGCCUGUUGAUUCUUGAAGAAUAUACCUAUAUGCCUCAUGAGCUUUGUACCACUUGUAACCCCCAUCAUAACUAAAUAUUGGGUCAUAUUACUUAAUCGUUUACUCCAUGUUAAGAACAUGUUUAUAUAGUUUCAAAAUAUGCAUGAUACUAUAACAUUGAUCUCAUGGACUAUAAGUCCCUGCAUCCACAGUUCCAGCAAAGAAGAAGAAUACUUUGUCUAUUUUCCUUUCAGAUGAUGAAAAUGUGUCUUUUUCUUUCAAACCCGGCUUGGAAUACUGGGUCAGCCACAGUGCAGCGCCCCUGAAAAUGGCAUUGGGAUAACAAAGCCAGCAACCCUAUCGUUGCCAGCUCACUGCUGUUGAUAGCCCGCCUUUAAACUACUGCAAACAACCCCAAAAUACAUAAGACAACCCCAACUACCCCCUGUCUAUGUGUUUGAUUCAGUUCAGCAGUACUCAAUACACUACCACACUCCAUAUCCUACUCCUACUAUACUCCAGCAAACACACUAAACACUCACAAAAUACACACCCCAACAAACAGUCAACACGGCUACCGACCGCAUGUCAAUAUGUAUGUCAAAGAAUAAAUGCAUUACACGGUAACCUCAAACAACCACAAACUAUCCCUUCCACAAACAGCUACCACAGAUUACCACAAACUCUAUAAACAAUCUCAAAAUACCAAAGUGCCCAAAACACAAACUACCACAAAUAACCUCAAAUAACCCCAAAAUACGCAUAUACUGUAACAUCAACAAACCACCACAAAAUACCAUAAUCUUGGGUAGUUUCUAGUUUGUGCUAUUUCGGGAUUGUUUGUUGUAGUUUGUGGUAUUUUGGGGGGGUUAUUUGUGGUAGUCUUGGGUAAUUCGUAGGAAUGACCUUCCGUCACAAAUGGUCUAUCUUUUAAUGUCACAAAUAGUUCAUUUCAGAUAUACUGGAGCUAAAAUUAAUGUAAUAUAUAAUAAUCUAUGCCAUAGUGCAUCCUGACUUUGCAAGUGCCAUGCUCUACCAACAGCCACACAGGAUCACAUUAAUGUGAUUAUACCAUUAGACAUUGAAUACACCAUCAGACAUUGAAUGCGUGCUCUUUCAGGUGCAUGUGGGAAAAUGCAUGUCAGUAUUGUCAGUAUUAAAUGCAGGAGGACUGUAAACUCCCUCUGCCCAUCUUUCUGUUUACCUACACUCUUCAAAAAAAGGGUCUGUCCCCAUAGGAGAACCCUUUUUGGUUCCAGGUAGAUCCUGCUGUGGAAAAAAAGGUUUUACCUGGAACCAAAGGGUUCUCCUAUGGGGACAGCCAAGGAACACCUUUUGGUUAUAAAUAGCACCUUUUUUCCCGUAAGAGUGUACUGUAUCGACAGUUAGUGUGUAGGGUGGUCUGUGACAGAACAGAUUGCAGUGAUUCAUCUCUGUUGAUUUAAUAUUCAAAGUGAAAUCCCAUAAGGCCCUCUGAUCAAGUCAGUCUGCAGACUGAUGAUUUUGACAACAAGGUUUUUACAGCUCAGUCAGUCGAGAGAGACUGCACUGUAGUACACAUGUACAGUGUCCAUAUUAGAACAGACAAGUCCUAGUGAGAUUGAGGCUGUCCUAAUAUGGACACCUAAUUACAGACCUGACUGACUGACCCCCCAGGUCUAACAAGUUUUUAUUUAACCUUUUAUUUUGACAGGGAGUCAAUGCUGAGACCAAGGUCUCUUUUCCAGAUGAGCCCUGUAUAGCACCACAAUACACAUCAAAAUACAAUAACACAUUGAACUACACAUUCAUAAUCCCCUUGACUUAUUCCACACUUUGCUCUGUUACAGCCUGAAUUCAAAAUGGAUAAAAUGUAUUUUUUAAAUCCCAUCCACACACAAUACCGCAUAAUGACAAAUGUAUUGAAAAUGAAAAACAGAAAGAUCUAAUUUACACAAGUAUUCACACCCAUACAUUACAUUACUUUAUAAAAGCAUUUGCCCAUUAUUAUUUUCAAAAUUCUUCAAGCUAUGUCAAAUUGGUGGUUGAUCAUUGCUAGACAACCAUUUAAGUCUUGCAAUAGAUUUUCAGGUAGAUUUAAUUCUUCUAUCACAGCCAUUAAACUCUGUAACUGUUUUAAAGUGACCAUUGACCUCAUGGUGAAAUCCCAGAAUGGUUACCUUCCUCUACGGCAAAUGAGUUAGGUAGGACGCCUGUAUCUUUAUCGUGACUGGGUGUAUUGAUACACCAUCCAAAGUGUAAUUAAUCUACCAAUGCCUAAAAGAUUUAGAUGCACUAUUGUAAAGUGGCUGUUCCACUGGAUGUCAUAAGGUGAAUGCACCAAUUUGUAAGUCGCUCUGGAUAAGAGCGUCUGCUAAAUGACUUAAAUGUAAUGUAAUGUUUGUGAGGCAUUGGGAAAACCUCCCUGGUCUUUGUGGUUGAAUCUGUGUUUUAAAUUCAGAUAAUUGUAUGUGUGGGGUACAGAGAUGAGGUAAUACACAGAUUCAAAGAGGAGUCCGUAAAGAAGUUCAUGAACUCAAGAAUUCAUCAUUCAUUUCAAUAGUAUAGAAAAUAGAUUUUGGAUUGUUCUUAUUCUCCUCAAUUAAGUUGGAAAAGCAGGCUGAUCAAGCAGCAGAGAGGGAUCUUUGAUAUUCCACUGUACUGUCUUUGCAAGCUAGUCGGAAGACUUCCUGUUUGGCAGAGAAUGCACUCGGAGCAUGAGAGUGUGGAGCAUGGUAGAAUGCAUAUUGUGUCUUGUGGGCUGCUGAACCUCUCUCCAUCCAUGAUUUUGGGCCAGACGCAGGCAAACUGUCAUGUCGACAGAGGCCAAAGACCCAUUCAUGUUCCCCUACAACAUGGUGCAGGAUGCCUCUCCACAUGUUCUACAACAUCGAAAACCAUUUAUCAGUAACCAUUUAUUUACUACACAAUAGCCUGCCAUAUGAUUAAUCACUGUAAUGACAGUGCUGAAAUUACGGUUUUAGCGUGAUUACCAGCCUUUACAAUAUAAAUCAUCCAAUAGUUGGAUUUUCUUAGUGCCACAGUAUUUCACUUAUGUCCCAGCCUUUUUACAGCACCACCAGAAGUGGGUGACUAUGUCCUUACUCUACUGGAGAAGGAUGGAGUACCCUGCCUCCUGCCUUGCCUUUUUUGAGAGAACAUUUUGAGAGGGGGUUGAGAGAAUUAAAUGUACUUGCACACUGCUGAUGAGACUGUUGUACUGAUGAUAUUGUCAGUGUCCCCAAUAGUCAUUUGCAUACAAGUAAAACUUUUUUUUGCUAUUAUUAGUUUGAAUUCAUGCCCUCUUACCUGACCGAUACAGUCUAGCUUGAAGCAAUGCCAAUGCUAGACAGAACAUGCACUUCGAAUGCUCCAUCUUUGGCAUGAGUGGAUGUGGGAUGGACCUCAUAGUCCCUUCUGGUAUCUGAGGAUAUGUUACAAGAAGGAUGAGGAUAUGUGAUAUGUUACUAUGAGGAUUAUAUGAGGAUAUAAUAUGAAAGAUAUUGCUGUGCAUUACAACAACAUAUUAUCCCAAUUACAGACACUAUUUGGCAAACUAUCCUAACCUUGCAAAUUGGUUAAUUAAUGUUUACUAGCUAGCCAGGCUGGGUAGUAAUGUCACACAUCACACAAACGGUAACAAAUUGACAGUUGGUGUCGAAAGCUGCCGUGUCAUUGUAGCUAGCUAGCUACUGUAGCAAAGAAUAACAGAGCAGAGCAUGUCCCUGUGUACUGGUAGCUAGUAACAACUUUGUAGCCAUUUUACAACUAGCUACUUUGUUUCAAGAGUGUCACUGUUAGAAGUAGACGUUACUUAAAUAGUUUGCUUAAUUCGGUUAUUUUGCCGGCUAGUCAUUGACGAACACAUCAUCAGCUUACAUUAGCUUCAAGGAAGAAAGUGGUUGUAUCUGUGAUGUUCCUUUUCUAAAUAUGUCUAGCAUACUUUUACAAUCUUUUUUAUUCUGAAAAAUUCCAGUUAUGAUAGAAAUACAUUAAAACCUAUAAGAUGCCAUUUUAAGGGGUAUAAAUCAAUAACUAAUUCACCUUUUGUCACAGAAACAUCAAACUAGGUAUGAUUUAUUAUAUAAAUGUCUAGUAUACUUCUACAACCUUUUCUUUGAGUAGAAAUUCCAGUUUUGAUUUGAUAGAAAUGCAUAGAACCUCAAAUAUUGCAUUUAAAGAUGAAGAAAUCAAUAACCAAUUCAGUGAUUGUAGCAGAAAAAAGUGAAAAUAUGCAUUUAUUUGCAAUAACAUGAAAGAAAUGUUCAUUUCAAGUGCAAUUUCUUCUAAAUUUAGUUAGACUCUGUUUACAUAAAGUUGUACAAUAUUUACAAUCUUAAAUUGUAUGCCAAAUCAAUGUUUGCAUUUUUAGUGCAACGGUUCCACAUUUUAAUUUAGUUACAAGGCACAACAGUCAUUUAUUUGUACAUCUCUAAUUUAACAGCAAAGAGGCCACUUGCAAUCAUUUUCUAUUUUGGCUUUGUUGAAGUCCUUCUUUGUCAUCCCCAGGCAAGCUGAAUGGGAUCUCCUGAGGUAAUAGAUUCAACUGUUCAACACUUACAGCCAAACACAUUCUGGAAAAGUCUAUAGAUUCAGUGUUCACUUUAUUAGGUACAAACUCCGUUGCAUCUGGAACAGCGUGAAUUCAAAAGUGUUGAUGAACCUGGGAAAGGAGAUAGUGUUCAAGUUAAGUCCAGUUGGAGUUUAUUACAGUCAGUUCACGUUUUGGAACUUUUCUGAGUUACAAAAUACAAUCACAGACUGUGCUGUCAUUUUGGACAAUAUAAAGUUCAAACAAACAGUAACAGAAUACAUUAAUACUUCUCUGCAUGCUUUAGUGUCUAGCAAGCCAUGACCACGGGACUUGGUGUAUGUAGGAGCAAUUUAUUUUUGUGAAUAGGGUGGUGAACCUAAUAAAGUGGCAAAUGAGUGUAGAUAUCACAAACAACUCCUUUUAAGCAGUGUCUGUCUGUUAUACGUUUGAUCAAUAGGUAUAAUGGUCAAUCUGAUCCCCAAGGUCCUCAUAGGCUCACUUGGAUAUAUAGAGUUGGAGGUAAAGAAAAAAUAUGAAACUUGGACAUUAAAACACUGGCAGAAUUAUUUGAAAAAACUCUGUAAACACUAGUCUCUUACUGGGCAAGAUGAACAAGGCAUCCGUAGGUCACAAUCAAUAAGCACAUUACCUUAAUGCCCAGAAAAAAAACACAAAGAAAAGCUCAUCCAACCCUUAAGUCACAGGGGGGUAAAAUGCAGACUUAUUUUUGUUUUAAUAGGAAUGCCAUCAGAGGAUGGACUGUUUAAAGGUGUAAAGUAAGACCAGAAUGGAGCCCAAGCCUCAUUAAACAGUUUGGGGUUCCCACGUUAAUUGAAAUUUUUCUAGUUUCAGAGAGCACAAUAUAACUCAAUAUUUAUAAGAUGGGGGAUCUGCCAUCUUCCAGUUCUGUAGUAUUAGCCGUCUAGCUAAAAGAAUUGUAUAAGCAACAGUGUCCGACUGGAUUCUUGACAGGGGGGUACCUAUGGGCAGUACUCCAAAAAGGGCUAAAUAUUAAUUCCCAGAAACCUGACAGUUUAUGACAGCCCCAAAACAUAUGCAAACAGUGUGGCUAAUUCGAUUUUACAUCUGACACAGGUAGGAUCAAAAUCAGAGAAUAUUCUUCCAAGUUUGGCCCCGGACCAGUGGAUACGGUGAACCACCUUGAGGCAGAAUUAUUUCAUCCACAUCCAUUCACAUAAAAUAUAAAUGUCACGAAUCCCGCUUCCUGAGUCUGUGUUUGCCUGUGUUUCUGUCCUGGAGUGUGUUUCCGGUGUCCUGGAACGCACCCGGUCUGGUUGCCGGGCGAAUUAGCUUGUUGGGAGAUCGAUGUUCACCCGCACCUGUAUCCCAUCAGUAAUCUGCACACCUGUCCUGAUCAUCACCUCUCCCCUUCAAAAGCUCUGACCUGACAUCCGUUCCCUGCCGGAUCGUUAGCCAUGAACAUUACUCACCCGGAUCAUUUACCCCAUUCCUGCCUGGUCGUCGGAGGAUUCCGCUACCCCAUUGGAUCCACCUAUUUACUCCCAUCAACUCACCACCGCUGCCCGCUACGCCACCUGGAUAUACCUACCCAUUCACAUUCACUUGUAAAUAAAUACUCACCUUCUUCCUA